UACGGAGGGUGCGAGCGUUAUUCGGAAUUACUGGGCGUAAAGCGCGUGCAGGCGGGGAAGCAAGUCUGAUGUGAAAGCCCUGGGCUUAACCUGGGAAGUGCAUUGGAAACUGUUUUUCUUGAGUACUGGAGAGGAAGGGAGAAUUCCCGGUGUAGAGGUGAAAUUCGUAGAGAUCGGGAGGAACACCAGUGGCGAAGGCGCCCUUCUGGACGGUUACUGACGCUGAGACGCGAAAGCGUGGGGAGCAAACAGG
rnacentral:rRNA from 1 species